GUGGGGAAUCUUAGACAAUGGGCGCAAGCCUGAUCUAGCCAUGCCGCGUGAUCGAUGAAGGCCUUAGGGUUGUAAAGCUCUUUCGUGGGGGAAGAUAAUGACUGUACCCCAAGAAGAAGCCCCGGCUAACUCCGUGCCAACAGCCGCGGUAAUACGGAGGGGGCUAGCGUUGUUCGGAAUUACUGGGCGUAAAGCGCACGUAGGCGGACUGGAAAGUCAGGGGUGAAAUCCCGGGGCUCAACCCCGGAACUGCCUUUGAAACUCCCAGUCUUGAGUUCGAGAGAGGUGAGUGGAAUUCCGAGUGUAGAGGUGAAAUUCGUAGAUAUUCGGAGGAACACCAGUGGCGAAGGCGGCUCACUGGCUCGAUACUGACGCUGAGGUGCGAAAGCGUGGGGAGCAAACAGGAUUAGAAACCCUUGUAGUCC
rnacentral:rRNA from 1 species